ensembl:piRNA 21ur-1323 ncRNA
UUCAACAUGGUGCUCCUUUAA